rnacentral:tRNA from 1 species
GGAGACGUGGCCGAGUGGUCGAAGGCACACCCCUGCUAAGGGUGCAGGCCCGGAAGGGUCUCGAGGGUUCGAAUCCCUUCGUCUCCG